AAGUCGUAACAAGGUUUCCGUAGGUGAACCUGCGGAAGGAUCAUUACCAAAAAUCCUUAUCAACCACUUGUGAACGUGUCUGUGUCUUUGGGGGAGUGAUCUUCGGAUCGUUUCCCCAACAGCGAGCUCAAACCGCCUUAACUGGCGGUGCCAAGCUUUAGCUGUAAACGUCAAACACCUUUCAAACCUUUUUCUUGAAUAAAACUUUCUCAUGAUAUUUUUUUAUCAAAAAAGAAAGACAACUUUUAACGGUGGAUCUCUUGGCUCGU
rnacentral:misc_RNA from 1 species